AGAGAUUUAUUCCAUUUAAUUUUUAUUUUUGGUUCUUCUCUCUCUCUCCCUCUCUCACGACAGAUCUCAUCUAAUAUCCUUCUCUGCUCUUUUUUUUCAGGAUUCUCUCUUCUUCUUCACUCUAACCUCUCAUUCUCAUAUCUCAUAUCUCUCUUCUCUCUCAAUGCCUUUCUCAUCUGUCUCCCACCGCGUCUCCUCGUCUCACCACCACCGCGUCUUCUCCUCGUCUCACCACCACCGCGUCUCCCCCUUGUCUCACCACCACCACAAUAAGGCUAUGGAGGAGGCAAGGUUCAUGGCGGCUUGAAGAUGCAAGUCUCGUGGCGGCUGGAGGAGGCAAGGUUCAUGGCGGCUUGAGGAUGCAAGUCUCAUGGCGGCUGGAGGAAGCAAAGUUCGUGGCUGUUGAAAGAGAGAAAAGGCUAUGGAGGAGGCGGCUGGAGUUUUUUUUUAGGGUUAGGUUUUUUUAGAUCUGGUUAAAUGUAAACCGAGUUAGGGAAAUUGUAGUGGUCUGAUUUUGUUUUUUAAUUUCUGGUUUAGUUUUGUAAACCGGAAUUAAUCUGUAAACCAAAUUUAAUUUAUUAAUAAAAUAUAUUUUAUUUUCGUUACAAAAUAA